GACGAACGCUGGCGGCGUGCUUAACACAUGCAAGUCGAACGGAAAGGCCCUGCUUUUGUGGGGUGCUCGAGUGGCGAACGGGUGAGUAACACGUGAGUAACCUGCCCUUGACUUUGGGAUAACUUCAGGAAACUGGGGCUAAUACCGGAUAGGAGCUCCUGCUGCAUGGUGGGGGUUGGAAAGUUUCGGCGGUUGGGGAUGGACUCGCGGCUUAUCAGCUUGUUGGUGGGGUAGUGGCUUACCAAGGCUUUGACGGGUAGCCGGCCUGAGAGGGUGACCGGCCACAUUGGGACUGAGAUACGGCCCAGACUCCUACGGGAGGCAGCAGUGGGGAAUAUUGCACAAUGGGCGGAAGCCUGAUGCAGCAACGCCGCGUGCGGGAUGACGGCCUUCGGGUUGUAACCCGCUUCCGCCUGUGACGAAGCGUGAGUGACGGUAAUGGGUAAAGAAGCACCGGCUAACUACGUG
rnacentral:rRNA from 1 species